rnacentral:rRNA from 1 species
CACUUAAGCCUGUCAUUGAAAAAGCAUGUCCAGUCGGGCUCUACGGAGCAGCGAAAGUCUUUAAUACAACUUUCAACAACGGAUCUCUUGGCUUUCGCAUCGAUGAAGAACGCCGCGAAAGCGCGAAACGUAAUGUGAAUUGCAGAAUUCAGUGAAUCAUCGAAUCUUUGAACGCACCUUGCGCUCCUUGGUAUUCCGAGGAGCAUGCCCGUUUGAGUGUCGUGAAACCCUCUCGAUCCCAGACUCUCUCCCCCUCCCCUGUGGGGUGUGGGGGGGCGUGUGCGGGGUCGGAUCUGGGAUGCUGCCGGGUCAUCUUGAGGAGACCGGCUCGUCUCGAAAUGCAUUAGCCGUUUCCAACCUUUGGCGUUUGGGUUCCUGCCAACGACGGUGUGAUAAGUUGAAAACGUGUCACCUGCGUUCGGUGCCGGGACCGCUCGGGGGGAAAUGGCUCACAAUUGUCCUUUGGACGAGAUUGCGAUCUGACCUCAAAUCGGGUAGGACUACCCGCUGAACUUAAGCAUAUCAAUAAGCGGAGGAAAAGAAACUAACAAGGAUUCCCCUAGUAACGGCGAGUGAAGCGGGAAGAGCUCAAAUUUGUAAUCUGGCGGCCUCCGGUCGUCCGAGUUGUAGUCUGGAGAAGUGCUUUCCGUGCCGGACCGUGUACAAGUCCCUUGGAACGGGGUGUCGUAGAGGGUGAGAAUCCCGUCUCUGACACGGACUGCCGGUGCCCUGUGAUGCGCUCUCGAAGAGUCGAGUUGUUUGGGAAUGCAGCUCAAAACGGGUGGUAAAUUCCAUCUAAAGCUAAAUAUUGGCGAAAGACCGAUAGCGAACAAGUACCGUGAGGGAAAGAUGAAAAGCACUUUGGAAAGAGAGUUAAACAGUACGUGAAAUUGUUGAAAGGGAAACGCUUGGAGUCAGUCGCGUCCGUCGAGGCUCAGCCGGGUACCAGACCCGGUGCACUCCUCGGCGCAGACGGGCCAGCAUCGAUUUCGACUGUCGGAGAAAGGCCCUGGGAAUGUGGCACCCUUCCGGGGGUGUGUUAUAGCCCUCUGCCGUAUGCGACGGUCGGGAUCGAGGACCGCAGCGUGCCCCUCGCAGGGCCGGGGUUC